rnacentral:rRNA from 1 species
UCUAAUACCGGAUAUCACUUCCSCMRGCAUCUGSGGGAGUSKAAAGCUCCGGCGGUGAAGGAUGAGCCCGCGGCCUAUCAGCUUGUUGGUGAGGUAAUGGCUCACCAAGGCGACGACGGG